CUACCGACACCGUGAGGUGUCGGGAUGGGCGAACAGGAGUCAGCAGAGGCCAUAUUAGGCUCUCUAACCAAGAGCUGAAGGGC
rfam:Halomonas meridiana strain R1t3 scaffold_110, whole genome shotgun sequence.